UACGGGGGGGGCAAGCGUUGUUCGGAAUUACUGGGCGUAAAGGGCGCGUAGGCGGUUGGAUAAGUCAGCUGUGAAAACCACGGGCUUAACUCGUGGCCUGCAGUUGAGACUGUCUGGCUUGAGCGUGGGAGAGGAGAGUGGAAUUCCUGGUGUAGCGGUGAAAUGCGUAGAUAUCAGGAGGAACACCGGUGGCGAAGGCGGCUCUCUGGACCACAACUGACGCUGAGGCGCGAAAGCUAGGGGAGCAAACAGG
rnacentral:rRNA from 1 species